GACCUACGGGGCGCAGCAGUGAGGGAUAUUGGUCAAUGGGGGAAACCCUGAACCAGCAACGCCGCGUGAGGGAAGACGGUUUUCGGAUUGUAAACCUCUGUCCUCUGUGAAGAUGAUGACGGUAGCAGAGGAGGAAGCUCCGGCUAACUACGUGCCAGCAGCCGCGGUAAUACGUAGGGAGCAAGCGUUGUCCGGAUUUACUGGGUGUAAAGGGAGCGUAGACGGCAGCGCAAGUCUGGAGUGAAAUGCCGGGGCCCAACCCCGGAACUGCUCUGGAAACUGUGAAGCUGGAGUGCAGGAG
rnacentral:rRNA from 1 species